rnacentral:lncRNA from 1 species
GUCCAGUUCAAGAUGCUGAUGAACUUCAGGUAUGGACCAAAUGGAGAUAAUUUGUUAUUAAAUAGCUGAAUCGAAUUCUUGGCCAAGGAUGAGAACUCUUAAUCUGAUUGGAUAUGCUUCUCUGAUGGGUUAAAGGAUUUACCUGAGGCCAACUUCAUAGGAAUUAGUUACCUGCAGUCACAUCCCUCCUCCCUUUAGAAAGUAUGUCUUAGAUAUGAAGGGGGGAAAGCCUGUAAUAAAUAGGCAGUACUUUAUUAUGCCAAGAAAAGGUUAUUUUUAAUGGAUUUUUAAGUAAUUGGCAUUUAAUCUUUCAAAGUAUCUUUCCCUAUGGUGACCAUUUUGAGCUUUUAGUAAGAUAGGGUUUGAGUUAAAAAUUCACUUUUAUAUGAGAACAUUACUAAGUCUGAGUUGACAAUGCGUAGUAUGUUGUGGAAUUCUAUUAACUUACCUGCUGCACAGCUUUUGUAAACAUGGUCUAGAAACCACUGUUUAUUUUCUUAAUAGCACAUCUUAUUUCAUAAUUGCCGAUCUAACUACCUGUUGUGAUACUUCUUUUACAGGUCUGGUGCUCGAAAGACAAUCGUGGUGUUUGAAAGAAGCUUUUCCAGUAGAUACAGUGUAUUUGAACAUAUGGUGAUUGAAUAGAAGCUUUUGCUCUCUUUGUCCCUUUCAUGGUAGUAGCAGGGGUGAAUUUUGAGAAGGUGCCAAAUAUCUGUAAGAACAUAUAUCUACCAGCACCAUAGAGAAUUUUGUAGAAUUCUGUUCUAUUAUUUAGCCUUUCUACCAACCAGCCCUAGCCUGAAGUUUGACAUAGUAACUAGACUAUUCUACAACUGUCUUAACAACACUGUCACUUGUGCCUUAAUUUGCAAAGAUUAUUUUUAAAUCCUAUUCCUUUGACUGCCCUAAAGAUACAUUUCAAAG